rnacentral:rRNA from 1 species
GACGAACGCUGGCGGCGUGCUUAACACAUGCAAGUCGAACGGUAAGGCCCUUCGGGGUACACGAGUGGCGAACGGGUGAGUAACACGUGGGUGAUCUGCCCUGCACUUCGGGAUAAGCCUGGGAAACUGGGUCUAAUACCGGAUAGGACCACUGCCUGCAUGGGUGGUGGUGGAAAGCUUUUGCGGUGUGGGAUGGGCCCGCGGCCUAUCGGCUUGUUGGUGGGGUGAUGGCCUACCAAGGCGACGACGGGUAGCCGGCCUGAGAGGGUGACCGGCCACACUGGGACUGAGAUACGGCCCAGACUCCUACGGGAGGCAGCAGUGGGGAAUAUUGCACAAUGGGCGCAAGCCUGAUGCAGCGACGCCGCGUGAGGGAUGACGGCCUUCGGGUUGUAAACCUCUUUCAGCACCGACGAAGCGCGAGUGACGGUAGGUGCAGAAGAAGGACCGGCCAACUACGUGCCAGCCGCAGCAGUAA